CAGUCGCCGCGGGAACACGGAGGGGGCUAGCGUUGUUCGGAAUUACUGGGCGUAAAGCGCACGUAGGCGGCUUGGUAAGUUAGAGGUGAAAGCCCGGAGCUCAACUCCGGAAUUGCCUUUAAGACUGCCGAGCUAGCAGGUGAGAGAGGUAAGUGGAAUUCCGAGUGUAGAGGUGAAAUUCGUAGAUAUUCGGAAGAACACCAGUGGCGAAGGCGGCUUACUGGCUCAUACUGGACGCUGAGGUGCGAAAGCGUGGGGAGCAAACAGGAUUAGAUACCCCCGUAGUCCCUGUCUCUUAUCA
rnacentral:rRNA from 1 species